CGCAGUUUUCAACAUAUCUCUAUCUUGUCUGCAAACUGUGAAAAUCAGGAUGAAACAUCUGUUUGCUGUAGUGUUGGUCGCAUUGGUGUUGGCUGUUGCACAGGCCUCCUAUCAGCAUGGAAAGGGUUAUCGUGGUUAUAACAAAUAUGACUACCCCACCCAGAAGUAUGAAUAUGGCAGAUAUGAUUACCCCAACGGGAAGUAUGACUACGGUUACAACAAAUAUGAUAACCCCAACGGGAGGUAUGACUAUGGCAAAUAUGAGAACCCCUACAAGAAGUACUACUAGUGUUCUUCAUUGAAGGAAUGUACAUGCUGAAGAAUAUCCGAUGAACAAUAAAUCACCACAGCAUUUA